AGCUCUUUUUUUUUCCAGGAUGCAUGUUUUCUUUAUUCUAGGUGCAUUGCAUCUUCCUGGAAUUCCUGGCUUUAUUGAAGAUGGAACCUUGUUUUCUUCACUAGCUUUGCUGUAUGCUGCGUGGCACAAGCGAUGACAGCCGCAGUGUCCGACGCUGGAAUUCCUGCGGAGCAGGUGACGAAGAGGAGCCUGGCAACUGCAGGAAUAUCCUGGUUUGCUGAUGUGUUUUUUUGCUGAGGAUGGAUUCAGACCCCUGCCGUCUGACAGCUAAGUUGAGGGGCUGCAGACCACUGCCCUACAGUGUGUAAUUUUGACUUCAGUUGGAAAGAAAUUUUCAAAAACAGAAAUCUUUCUCAUUCAAAGAAAUUGCAUUUUAUUGAACUUCCCAUCAGAGUGGCUCUUCAGAGGUGAUGUACUUGGCAGUAGAAGUCAUCAGCAACAAGAAUCUUUUUGUUUUUUCCUUAUUUUUUUUUUUAAAGUCA